UAAAAAUUAAAAGGAAGAGAGUGGAAGAGACAAGUUCUCGAAACAGCCUGGAUGCUGAGCUCAACCCAAAGCACGGGUGUAAGCUCUGGCCAGCAGCCCUCAGAGGCUUCCAGCUCAGCGGCCCGAGACUCCUCACUGAAAAUAUCCAGCAUCUGAUGAGGCAGCUGCGGGUUAAAUUUAGCCUUGGCAAACUCAGGCCUUGGCUGGAUGCUGGAAGCAUCUGAGUGGAUGGAUGGAGGGCCGAUGGAUGCGUGGAUAAAGAAUGGACACAUGAACAGGUGGAUGGACAAAUGGACAGACAGGUGGAUGGAUAGACAGAUGGAUGGACUUAGCACAGGUCCUGCCCAGAUGGACCUGCAGACUCAGACUGUCCUGCACUGAGCUGAGCUGUACAGCUGUUGGAGCAAGUCACCUGGGACUUCAACAACCUGGAUUUCAGUCUUCUAAGCAAGGUACGGACACUGGGGAUCAACAGCCCAGUUCCCCCAUUCCAAUCCUCAUUUACAGGUUGUUGGUCUUAACUGUGUACUGUACUGGAAUGUCCUGCACACACACACACACACACACACACACACACACACACACACACACACACACCAUCUGCAUCCUACACCAGACCUAUGGGAUUAGGCUCUCCAGGAGGCCUAGGGGUGGUUCUCCAUGAAAAAGGAAACCUUCUCAAAGUCUCAACCCAGUUCUGAGAAUUGAGAAUUUGGUGCCUCUUUGUGUCUGCUCCAGUCACCUUUAGUCUUUCACAGCUGUAUAGAUGACACAAGCCAGGCUCUCUGCACUUAAAAUCAACACAGGGAGCUAGAGACAAGAGGAGGUAAGGACAGAGAGAAGCGAGAGCUGACUGAACAAAACAAAGGGGAAGAAAAGUGGCCACACUGAAGCAGGUGGAAAGGAAAGAAAAAGAGAGGAGAUGAGAUUAGGGGAGAGACAUGGAAAAUGGGAGCUGGGCCAGAGGCAAACAAGAACCUAAACAAAAUCAGUGGACAAAUACUAGAGUAAAAAAAAAAUUCAAUGUAUGGUUAAGAUCAAUAUCCAAAAAAAAAAAAAAAAAAAACCCUUGCAGAUAUUAACAAGGUUGAGAUAGCACACUAGAAUAAGCAAAGAUACCGAAAUUCCCGGUACACAGUUUCAGAGGAUUGCUUUUGCCUAUAUAGUUGACAAAACCCAGAAAGCCACUUACUUAUUUCUUGGAGUGUGGAAGAAGGAAAUAGUUUCCUAAAUGCUGUUGGCAGUUAUGAAUGUGAAUUGUCACAUUUGAACACAAGAAGCUGGCACCAUAUAGCAAAAUGCACCACCCAUCAUCAGCCCACCAUCCCUGGGACCAGAUGGAUGCCUUAGGGACACAGCAUUGUGGACCAAAUGUUGACAUAUCAGGCUGGUUUGAUUAUGGCUCCAUACAGCAGCCAUGAUAAGUGAGAAAGCCAUGCAUGUCACACUGGAAUUUAAGGCCUGAG
rnacentral:lncRNA from 1 species